GCAAGUCGAACGCGAACCUUCGGGUUCGAGUGGCGGACGGGUGAGUAACACGUGGGUUACCUACCCUGAGGUGGGGGACAACCAAGGGAAACUUUGGCUAAUACCGCAUAUGGUCUACGGAUCAAAGCCUUCGGGCGCCUUGGGAUGGGCCCGCGGCCCAUUAUUUAAUCCUUGUUGGUGGGGUAACGGCCUACCAAGGGUACGAUGGGUAGCUGGUCUGAGAGGAUGAUC
rnacentral:rRNA from 1 species